UGAGGAAUAUUGGUCAAUGGGCGUAAGCCUGAACCAGCCAAGUAGCGUGAGGGAAGACUGCCCUAUGGGUUGUAAACCUCUUUUGUGCGGGGAUAAAGUGUGGGACGUGUCCCAUAUUGCAGGUACCGCACGAAUAAGGACCGGCUAAUUCCGUGCCAGCAGCCGCGGUAAUACGGAAGGUCCGGGCGUUAUCCGGAUUUAUUGGGUUUAAAGGGAGCGCAGGCCGUCCUUUAAGCGUGCUGUGAAAUGCCGCGGCUCAACCGUGGCACUGCAGCGCGAACUGGAGGACUUGAGUACGCACGAGGUAGGCGGAAUUCGUGGUGUAGCGGUGAAAUGCUUAGAUAUCACGAAGAACUCCGAUUGCGAAGGCAGCUUACCGGAGCGCAACUGACGCUGAGGCUCGAAAGCGCGGGUAUCGAACAGGAUUAGAUACCCUGGUAGUCCGCGCGGUAAACGAUGGAUGCCCGCCGUUGGGAUUUUGAUUUCAGCGGCCAAGCGAAAGCGUUAAGCAUCCCACCUGGGGAGUACGCCGGCAACGGUGAAACUCAAAGGAAUUGACGGGGGCCCGCACAAGCGGAGGAACAUGUGGUUUAAUUCGAUGAUACGCGAGGAACCUUACCCGGGUUUGAAUUGCAGGAGAACGAUCCAGAGAUGGUGAGGCCCUUCGGGGCUCCUGUGAAGGUGCUGCAUGGUUGUCGUCAGCUCGUGCCGUGAGGUGUCGGCUCAAGUGCCAUAACGAGCGCAACCCCUGUCCAUAGUUGCCAUCAGGUCGUGCUGGGCACUCUGUGGAGACUGCCGCCGUAAGGUGUGAGGAAGGUGGGGAUGACGUCAAAUCAGCACGGCCCUUACGUCCGGGGCUACACACGUGUUACAAUGGGGCAUACAGCGAGUUGGAUGUGCGCAAAUACGUCCGGAUCAAUAAAGUGCCUCUCAGUUCGGACUGGGGUCUGCAACCCGACCCCACGAAGCUGGAUUCGCUAGUAAUCGCGCAUCAGCCAUGGCGCGGUGAAUACGUUCCC
rnacentral:rRNA from 1 species